AGAGUUUGAUCCUGGCUCAGAACGAACGCUGGCGGCGUGCUUAACACAUGCAAGUCGAACGAGAAAGUUUCCUUCGGGAAGCGAGUAGAGUGGCGCACGGGUGAGUAACGCGUAGGUAAUCUACCUUUAUGAUCGGGAUAACAUUGGGAAACUGGUGCUAAUACCGGAUACCCUUCCUGGCUUUGGGGUCAGGGAGGAAAGGUGGCCUCUUCAUGAAAGCUACCGCAUAGAGAUGAGCCUGCGUACCAUUAGCUAGUAGGCGGGGUAACGGCCCACCUAGGCGACGAUGGUUAGCGGGUCUGAGAGGAUGAUCCGCCACACUGGAACUGGAACACGGACCAGACUCCUACGGGAGGCAGCAGUGAGGAAUAUUGCGCAAUGGGGGAAACCCUGACGCAGCGACGCCGCGUGAGUGAAGAAGGUUUUCGGAUCGUAAAGCUCUGUCAGAAGGGAAGAAAUGCUGCAUGGUUAAUACCCAUGCAGUUUGACGGUACCUUCAGAGGAAGCACCGGCUAACUCCGUGCCAGCAGCCGCGGUAAUACGGAGGGUGCAAGCGUUGUUCGGAAUUACUGGGCGUAAAGGGCGCGCAGGCGGCCUGAUAAGUCAGAUGUGAAAGUCCAUGGCUCAACCGUGGAAGUGCAUUUGAAACUGUCUGGCUUGAGUAUCGGAGGGGAGUGUGGAAUUCCCGGUGUAGAGGUGAAAUUCGUAGAGAUCGGGAGGAACACCGGUGGCGAAGGCGACACUCUGGACGAAUACUGACGCUGAGGCGCGAAAGCGUGGGGAGCAAACAGGAUUAGAUACCCUGGUAGUCCACGCCGUAACGAUGUGAACUAGGGAUAGGGGUGUUGAUCCCUUCUGUCCCGCAGCUAACGCAUUUAAGUUCACCGCCUGGGGAGUACGGUCGCAAGAUUAAAACUCAAAGGGAAUUGACGGGGGCCCGCACAAGCGGUGGAGUAAU
rnacentral:rRNA from 1 species